UACGUAGGGGGCUAGCGUUGUCCGGAUUUAUUGGGCGUAAAGAGCGUGUAGGCGGCCUGGUAGGUCUGCUGUGAAAACUCGAGGCUCAACCUCGAGAUGUCGGCGGAAACCAUCUGGCUAGAGUCCGGAAGAGGAGAGUGGAAUUCCUGGUGUAGCGGUGAAAUGCGCAGAUAUCAGGAAGAACACCUAUGGCGAAGGCAGCUCUCUGGGACGGUACUGACGCUGAGACGCGAAAGCGUGGGGAGCGAACAUG
rnacentral:rRNA from 1 species